rnacentral:tRNA from 1 species
GAGUUUAUAGCAUAUAUAGUGUGUUGAAUUGCAGAUUCAAAGGUGUAUUAAUUUACUAAACUCU